UAACUCACCUGGACGGGGUCAAUGGGUGAUCAAUAAGGCCUAUGACCUGAGUUGGUGACCUCCAUCGCACUUUGGAGGAUUGUCAGUCUAAGGUCGAUCCAAGUGGUCGAUCUAUGUCAUAAUUUUUUACAGUGGGGGCCUGCAGUCUCAAGGCCCCUA
rfam:Capsicum annuum cultivar Zunla-1 chromosome 10, whole genome shotgun sequence